rnacentral:rRNA from 1 species
GUAGGGAAUAUUGGACAAUGGGCGAAAGCCUGAUCCAGCCAUGCCGCGUGUGUGAAGAAGGUCUUCGGAUUGUAAAGCACUUUCAGUUGGGAGGAAGGGCAGUAAGUUAAUACCUUGCUGUUUUGACGUUACCGACAGAAUAAGCACCGGCUAACUUCGUGCCAGCAGCCGCGGUAAUACGAAGGGUGCAAGCGUUAAUCGGAAUUACUGGGCGUAAAGCGCGCGUAGGUGGUUUUGUAAGUUGGAGGUGAAAUCCCCGGGCUCAACCUGGGAACUGCCUCCAAAACUGCAUGACUAGAGGACGGUAGAGGGUAGUGGAAUUUCCUGUGUAGCGGUGAAAUGCGUAGAUAUAGGAAGGAACACCAGUGGCGAAGGCGACUACCUGGACUGAUACUGACACUGAGGUGCGAAAGCGUGGGGAGCAAACAGGAUUAGAAACCCUGGUAGUCC